GAUGAACGCUAGCGGCAGGCCUAACACAUGCAAGUCGAGGGAGAAGCCCUUUCGGGGGCAGAAACCGGCGCACGGGUGCGUAACGCGUAUGCAACCUACCUUUCACAGGGGGAUAGCCCGAAGAAAUUUGGAUUAAUACCCCAUAAUAUUAUUGAAUGGCAUCAUUUGAUAAUUAAAACUGCGGUGGUGAAAGAUGGGCAUGCGUCCUAUUAGCUAGUUGGAGUGGUAACGGCACCCCAAGGCUACGAUAGGUAGGGGUCCUGAGAGGGAGAUCCCCCACACUGGUACUGAGACAGGGACCAGACUCCUACGGGAGGCAGCAGUGAGGAAUAUUGGUCAAUGGUCGGAAGACUGAACCAGCCAUGCCGCAUGCAGGAAGAAUGCCUUAUGGGUUGUAAACUGCUUUUAUAUGGGAAGAAUAAGGUGUACGUGUACAUUGAUGACGGUACCAUAUGAAUAAGCAUCGGCUAACUCCGUGCCAGCAGCCGCGGUAAUACGGAGGAUGCGAGCGUUAUUCGGAAUCAUUGGGUUUAAAGGGUCUGUAGGCGGGCUAUUAAGUCAGGGGUGAAAGGUUUCAGCUUAACUGAGAAAUUGCCUUUGAUACUGGUAGUCUUGAAUAUCUGUGAAGUUCUUGGAAUGUGUAGUGUAGCGGUGAAAUGCUUAGAUAUUACACAGAACACCGAUUGCGAAGGCAGGGGACUAACAGACAAUUGACGCUGAGAGACGAAAGCGUGGGGAGCGAACAGG
rnacentral:rRNA from 1 species